rnacentral:rRNA from 1 species
UAGGCUGCAACUCGCCUACACGAAGUCGGAAUCGCUAGUAAUCGCGGANCAGCAUGCCGCGGUGAAUACGUUCCCGGGCCUUGUACACACCGCCCGUCACACCAUGGGAGUUUGUAACGCCCAAAGUCGGUGGCCUAACCUUUAUGGAGGGAGCCGCCUAAGGCGGGACAGAUGACUGGGGUGAAGUCGUAACAAGGUAAC